rnacentral:lncRNA from 1 species
CCACCUUUAAGAUAUUGUAAUUGAUGUCUGUGAAAAGAAGUAUGAUCUAUCUAGGACUACUGCUAAUAUCCAGGCCAUUGGUGAUUGGAGUACAGAUGGGCCAGGGCCAGCUGCUAUUUUUAGUGCUAGGCCAGUAAGGAAAUCCAAUCUACACAUCUUGUAUUUAUGUUUCUGUGGCAAUAAACAGGGUGAGAAUACACGUCAUUAUCCUUUAAGAUAGGGAAACUCACUUAUUUCCAUUUAAUUCCUUAUGUGAUUCUUACUGUAGACUUGGUUCUACAGUCCCACACAGUUGUUGUUGUUGUUUUCUGAAACUAAAUGAAAAGUUGGAAAUUGUUGAAAAGUUGAAUGGGUCUCAAAUACAGAGAAUCUGCUAGACCU